rnacentral:rRNA from 1 species
AUUGAACGCUGGCGGCAGGCCUAACACAUGCAAGUCGAACGAGUGGCGGACGGGUGAGUAAUGUCUGGGAAACUGCCCGAUGGAGGGGGAUAACUACUGGAAACGGUAGCUAAUACCGCAUACCAUCGGAUGUGCCCAGAUGGGAUUAGCUAGGAGGUGGGGUAAAGGCUCACCUAGGCGACGAUCCCUAGCUGGUCUGAGAGGAGGACCAGCCACACUGGAACUAGGACACGGUCCAGAGUCCUACGGGGGGAGGCAGAGGGGAAUAUUGCACAAUGGGCGCAAGCCUGAUGAAGCCAUGCCGCGUGUAUGAGGAAGGCCUUCGGGUUGUAAAGUACUUUCAGCGAGGAGGCGGUACUCGCAGAAGAAGCACCGGCUAACUCCGUGCCAGCAGCCGCGGUAAUAC